UUUAGAUUUUACAGGUUUCGUAUGGAAUUUCGUCACUAAAUCCACUUCUGAGAAGUUUUGAGUCUGAUAUGAGGGUCCAGAUGGAUUAUUUCCAAGGGGAACAAGGCUACCUUUCAAAAUAGGCCAGUUUCUUGAAGCAGUAGAUGCAUCUGUCCUAAAUCUCUCAGCUGGGAAAGAGAGUGAGGAGUCCAUCUGUCAAUAAUUAAGUAUGUACUCAUAGGAAAUGAAGUUUGCAGGUAGUAUUUAGGUUACUCAAGUGUUGAAAAACCUUCCUGUUACUGUAUAGCUGAAAAAUAUCACGUAAUAUUAAAUUUUUUAAAAAGG